rnacentral:lncRNA from 1 species
UAACAUGCCAUAAUUUCCUUAUUUUUAUUUAUUUCAUAAUGUAAAUGUUCACACAAUUUAGUAUUCCGUGUCUAUAAAUAGUCUUGAUCGGGGUAGCAAGAUUUAUUUUGCCUGUUGGUUGCCUAGCUAUCGUAAACAAAUCGAUAUUGUAAUCUGAGCGUGUAAUUUUUAUUUCAACUUUUACGUUUGCAUCAGGACGACGUUAAAAGCGAAAACGUUCAUAUUUUUAGAGUGACAUUCGUUACUUCAAACAGAAAUCGCUUUUAUCUUUUAAAAAAUUUUGGCAGUUAAAGACCGGGGGGGGGGGUAACUUCGAUAUUUUCUUGGUAGGGGUGUGCCAUUUUUGCCUCAAAAAAUGUACCCAUUUUAAUAUUACAUUCACUGAAAUUCAGUACCUAUAGUUAUAUAAAUAUUUAAGAAAGAAUGACCUAUACUUAUAUACAAUAUUUAAAAUAUGAGCCAUGCUUAUAUAAGCACUAACUCACCGGG